UGCUGGUUUGGGGUGCCUGGCAGGCUCAGUCCAAGGAGCAUGCUAGUAUUGAUCUUGGUGUCCUGAGUUUGAGCAGCACAAGGGGUGUAGAGAUUACUUGCACAAACAAAACUUAAAAAAAAAAAAAAAACACCAAAAACAAACAAAAAAAGCCCCACAAAACCUCCUGGAUUUUUAUAUCCCAGCCAUACAAAGUGUUUUCAAACCAACAGCUCUCCAAGCUUCUCUCUUGAUCUGAGUGGUCUGCAUGGGAUUGUGCAUGGGGUAUCUAUCCCUUGAGAAAUGCCUUUUCUACACCACACAGGCCACUAUUGGGUGCCUUCAGGAUUUCAGGCAGGAGAGACUUCUUCAGCUGGAUGGCAGCUUCUGCCACGGGGGAAAGUGAUAGUAUGUGACAGCUGGCUCCCUCAGCUGUGUGGAGAGACCCACUCCUUUCUCGCCGCAUCCAGAAAACUGAGGACUGUCUGCCUCAUGACCCACCACUUGCCAUCCAGAGGAAGAUUCUGGCUGCAGAGGGAUGGGGAUGGUGGGCUCCAGACUCUUGUAUUGGGAACCCCAUUUUUGCCAAU